CGCGUAGGCGGGCGACCAAGUCAGGGGUGAAAUCUUUCGGCUUAACCGGAAAACAGCCCCUGAUACUGGACGUCUUGAGGGAGGUAGGGGCAUGUGGAACUUCUGGUGGAGCGGUGAAAUGCGUAGAUAUCAGAAGGAACGCCGGUGGCGAAAGCGACGUGCUGGACCUUCUCUGACGCUGAGGCGCGAAAGCUAGGGUAGCGAACG
rnacentral:rRNA from 1 species